rnacentral:lncRNA from 1 species
GAUCUCUAGAGACCAGUCCUAAAACAAACAUGGUGGACUCCUAAAGACGAACAGGAAAUCCAGCGUUUAACCUGGUGAUCAAAUCCCUGCCCAGGUCUCCAAUAUUCAUUAACCUUGAGUUCAGGCACCACUGCACUAAGAGACAUUAGGAAACUUCUGUCCUGCUGGAAAUUCUGAGAUAAGCCAGAACUGGAAAGAACAUUGUGAGAGAACCUAACAGACAACUCUAAAGAAGAAAAUCAGCUUUCACAAUUGAACUACCAAGCCCAGGUCGCUGCUGCUGCUAAGUCGCUUCAGUUUAGUUCAGUUCCGUUCAGUUCAGUAGCUCAGUUGUGUCCGACUUUUUGCGACCCCAUGAAUCGCAGCAUGCCAGGCCUCCCUGUCUAUCACCAACUCCCGGAGUUCACUCAGAC